GGACCAGACUCCUACGGGAGGCAGCAGUGAGGAAUAUUGGUCAAUGGGCGGGAGCCUGAACCAGCCAAGUCGCGUGAGGGAUGACGGCCCUAUGGGUUGUAAACCUCUUUUGCCGGGGAGCAAAGUGCCGCACGUGUGCGGUUUGGAGAGUACCCGGAGAAAAAGCAUCGGCUAACUCCGUGCCAGCAGCCGCGGUAAUACGAAGGGGGCAAGCGUUGUUCGGAAUUACUGGGCGUAAAGGGAGUGUAGGCGGUUUAGUAAGAUAGUGGUGAAAUCCCAGGGCUUAACUUUGGAAUUGCCAUUAUAACUAUUAGACUAGAAUUACAGAGAGGAUAGUGGAAUACCCAGUGUAGAGGUGAAAUUCGUAGAUAUUGGGUAGAACACCAGUGGCGAAGGCGACUAUCUGGCUGUACAUUGACGCUGAGGCUCGAAAGCAUGGGGAUCAAACAGGAUUAGAUACCCCCGUACCA
rnacentral:rRNA from 1 species